rnacentral:rRNA from 1 species
GGCGGACGGGUGAGUAAUGUCUGGGAAACUGCCUGAUGUAGGGGGAUAACUACUGGAAACGGUAGCUAAUACCGCAUAACGUCGCAAGACCAAAGAGGGGGACCUUCGGGCCUCUUGCCAUCGGAUGUGCCCAGAUGGGAUUAGCUUGUUGGUGGGGUAACGGCUCACCAAGGCGACGAUCCCUAGCUGGUCUGAGAGGAUGACCAGCCACACUGGAACUGAGACACGGUCCAGACUCCUACGGGAGGCAGCAGUGGGGAAUAUUGCACAAUGGGCGCAAGCCUGAUGCAGCCAUGCCGCGUGUAUGAAGAAGGCCUUCGGGUUGUAAAGUACUUUCAGCGGGGAGGAAGGGAGUAAAGUUAAUACCUUUGCUCAUUGACGUUACCCGCAGAAGAAGCACCGGCUAACUCCGUGCCAGCAGCCGCGGUAAUACGGAGGGUGCAAGCGUUAAUCGGAAUUACUGGGCGUAAAGCGCACGCAGGCGGUUUGUUAAGUCAGAUGUGAAAUCCCCGGGCUCAACCUGGGAACUGCAUCUGAUACUGGCAAGCUUGAGUCUCGUAGAGGGGGGUAGAAUUCCAGGUGUAGCGGUGAAAUGCGUAGAGAUCUGGAGGAAUACCGGUGGCGAAGGCGGCCCCCUGGACGAAGACUGACGCUCAGGUGCGAAAGCGUGGGGAGCAAACAGGAU